rnacentral:rRNA from 1 species
UACGGAGGGUGCAAGCGUUAUCCGGAAUCACUGGGUUUAAAGGGUGCGUAGGCGGCCUGGUAAGUCAGGGGUGAAAGCUUCCCGCUCAACGUGAGAACUGCCCUUGAUACUGCCAGGCUCGAAUUGGGUUGAGGCCGGCGGAAUGUGGCAUGUAGCGGUGAAAUGCUUAGAUAUGCCAUAGAACACCGAUUGCGAAGGCAGCCGGCCAAGCCUUGAUUGACGCUGAGGCACGAAAGCGUGGGGAGCGAACAGG